rfam:Ixodes scapularis strain Wikel colony gcontig_1108379162276, whole genome shotgun sequence.
CCCAGGUUAGCUCAGUUGGUAGAGCGCUCCACUUGUAAUGGAGAGGUCCCGGGUUCGAUACCCGGACCAGGCG